rnacentral:rRNA from 1 species
GAUGAACGCUGGCGGCGUGCCUAAUACAUGCAAGUCGAGCGGACGGACGAGAAUCUUGCUACUCUGAUGUUAGAGGCGGACGGGUCAGUAACAUGUGGAUAACCUACCUAUAAGACUGGGAUAACUUCGUGAAACCGGUGCUAAUACCGGAUAAUAUUUUGAUCCUCAUGGUUCAAAAGUGAAAGACGGUUUUGCCGUCACUUAUAGAUGUCUCCGCGCUGCAUUAGCUAGUUGUUAAGGUAACGGCUUACCGAGGCCGCGAUGCAUAGCCGACCUGAGAAGGUGAAGGGCCACUGUGGAACUGAGACGCGGUCCAGACUCCGACGGGAGGCAGAGGUAGGGAAUGGUGGGCGAUGGGCGGAAGACUGACGGAGCAGCGCCGCGUGGGUGAUGAAGGUCUGCGGAUGGUAAAACUCUGUUAUUAGGGAAAAACGUAUGUAGAAGUGACGGUGCACAUCGUGACGGUACCUGAACAAAAAGCAACGGCUAACUACGUG